rnacentral:lncRNA from 1 species
GGUUAAGUAAGGAGUUUUUCCUUUUUUUCUGUAUUUCACUGAUAGGCAAUAUAAAACCAACUCAGAAUAUAAUUCCUUUACUCUGGACAAGGAACCAUAAAAUAAGCUGCUUCAUAAUAAGGACACAAUUCUUUCCUCUCUGCAUAUGAUGUCAAUCAACAUUUCGGAUGUGAAUUUCCAAACGGGCUUACCAUCUCGUUUUUAUCCCUUCCAUCUUGCUCCAGGGUCUUUGAAGUUGUUAGAAGAUUUCUCUAUGUAUUCUUGGGAGUUUGGCAAGAAAAUAAAGCUAUUUUCUCUGCUUGGGGAUCUGAGAUACGAACAAAUUAUGUGAUCUGGCCAUGCAGAAAGUGAGUUUCGAAACCUCUCCAAGAGCUCGGUGCUCUGUAGGGAUUUUUAACCCAGAAAUGUUCCCCUUCUUCUGUUAUCUAAGUAUGAGACUUUUCCUUCUACGUUCCUUUCUUUGCAUGUUCUCGGAGGCCGGUAUCUUGAUAUAAGGUCAUCUACUCUGAUGUAGACACAUGCAUCCCUACCUUGGUGCAAAGUGAUUCGGAUCAACUUUCCCCGAACAAGCGUGAGAUCUGGAGAUGUUGCGGAAUUCACUGGAUUUAAGGUCCACGCGGUCCUGACAAACAAGGUUCUGCAUCUUCCAAGGGGAGGGAGAGCCCCCAAAAAGAAUCACCUUACACGGGAGCAGAUGCAAGACUCUCGUUAGAAGUGUGAUGACGAAUUCUGUGUCAAAUUGGCGAGGCUCUGACGUCCAGUGGUCUGGUCAGAUGCUCACCUAGGUGUUGCUGAGAUGAUGCUUUUUAACAGGAUAACUAAGUUUCGAAGCAGCAGGCCCCGGGUGGGGUGGAGGGCCCUCCAUGUGGGGGAUGGGCCUCGCCCAAUCAGGGGAAGCUCCUAAGAACUACCGUCGAGGUUCCCUGAGGCAGGACUUCCGCCUCCAGGACACAAAAUCGAAGUCUGGCCUGGGUUUCCAGCCUGCCGCCCUGAGAUGCCAACCCAAGAUCGCAGCGCUGCUUCCGUCCACUCCGGAGGAAGCACAACAGCAGGGCAGGGAAGUGCGGUGUCUCCAAAAGAUCAAACGUGGAUGGCAGGUGGCUGUGUGAUGUCCAGGCCUGGACUCCUAAUGCUGCCCCGGCAUGGGAACCGGGAAGAGGCCACAGCAUCCGCAUCCCAGGUGGGCGUGGAGGCAUCAGGUCCUGCAAUAAGGGCUGAGGUGGCCCGCUGUGUCCCAACUUGUCUAUGUAGGCGACUGCACAAACGGGGCAUCCGCCAGGACAUACCCGCGAGCUUCCUCCGUGAUCAAUCUCUCAAAUGGCUCAUCAGGUGACAGCUCUGAGCAUGUCCAGCAGAGAACACCUGAGAUCGGUUAGAAUGAAGCGCGAGGGGGGAGGAGGUGCAUAAAGCUGGACAAGGGGGCUCGGUUCACCCAUAAACACGGUGACGAUGCGUGAAGACGCCAGGGCAAGGGUACAUUUGUAUGCAUCACCUCUUGUUCACUUUCUUGGGGGCAGAGGGACUGGGGGAGGGCAGGGGGGCUUUGACUCGAGGACGAGCCCACGGGCCCCGUCAGUUAUCCGCAGGGUGGGGCGGCCUUGGACAGAGGGCAUUCCCGGGGGCCCCGGCGUCUUGCAGGCUUCUUCAUGGCUCGGCUGGUGGACGGGGUGGGUCACUUCCCAGCGGCAACCCGGGGCUCCCGGGUCAGUGAGAGCAGACCUCACGCGAGUUCUCGGAGACCGGAACGUGCCAGGUGCCGCCGGGUUGCGCGGAUGCUGAUGGAGCGGUUGCACCAUGCUGAACGAGAGUGGGGGCGGGGGGAACUGCCUGGACUUCUCCUCUAUUUAUUUAUCUUUUAUUUAUUUAUUUAUUUAUUUAUUUAUUUAUUUAUUUAUUAUGUUUAUUUAUUUAUUUUUUAUCUUUAUUUAUUUAUUCAUUAUUUAUUUAUUAUUUAUUAUCUAUUUAUCUUUAC